UACGGAGGAUGCAAGCGUUAUCCGGAAUGAUUGGGCGUAAAGCGUCCGCAGGUGGCCGCUCAAGUCUGCUGUCAAAGGCCAGGGCUUAACUCUGGAAAGGCAGUGGAAACUGAAGGGCUAGAGGGCGGUAGGGGCAGAGGGAAUUCCCAGUGUAGCGGUGAAAUGCGUAGAGAUUGGGAAGAACACCGGUGGCGAAAGCGCUCUGCUGGACCGCAACUGACACUCAGGGACGAAAGCUAGGGGAGCGAAUGGGAUUAGAUACCCCAGUAGUCCUAGCCGUAAACGAUGGAUACUAGGCGUAGCUUGUAUCGACCCAAGCUGUGCCGUAGCUAACGCGUUAAGUAUCCCGCCUGGGGAGU
rnacentral:rRNA from 1 species